UACGGGGGGAGCAAGCGUUGUUCGGAUUUACUGGGCGUAAAGGGCGCGUAGGCGGCCAGCGCAAGUCAGUUGUGAAAUCUCCGGGCUUAACUCGGAAAGGUCAACUGAUACUGCGCGGCUAGAGUGCAGAAGGGGCAACUGGAAUUCUCGGUGUAGCGGUGAAAUGCGUAGAUAUCGAGAGGAACACCUACGGCGAAGGCGGGUUGCUGGGCUGACACUGACGCUGAUGCGCGAAAGCCAGGGGAGCGAACGGG
rnacentral:rRNA from 1 species